AUAUUGUUGUAGAAGGCGGAAA
rnacentral:miRNA from 1 species